AUGGCUGUGGGUGCUGGGUAAUGACGUCACAUAGCAACACCCAGCUUCCUCUACCUAGGGACUAGCCUCCUUCGAGUUUCUUCAGCCCAGGAACACGACUUGCUUUAUAGCCAGGUGCAAAC